rnacentral:tRNA from 1 species
GAGGUUGUGGCUCAGCGGCAGAGCGCUCGCCUUGCAAGUAUGAGACCCUGGGUACGAUCCUCAGCACCACA